UACGGAGGGAGCUAGCGUUGUUCGGAAUUACUGGGCGUAAAGAGCACGUAGGUGGCGAAGAUAGUCAGUGGUGAAAGGCCUGGGCUCAACCCAGGAACUGCCAUUGAUACUGCUUUGCUAGAGUCCGGGAGAGGAUAGCGGAAUUUCCAGUGUAGAGGUGAAAUUCGUAGAUAUUGGAAAGAACACCAGUUGCGAAGGCGGCUAUCUGGACCGGUACUGACACUGAGGUGCGAAAGCGUGGGGAGCGAACAGG
rnacentral:rRNA from 1 species